CAGCCGCCGCGGUAAUACGUAGGCAGCAAGCGUUGUUCGGAGUUACUGGGCGUAAAGGGUGCGUAGGCGGUUCUAUAAGUAUGGUGUGAAAUCUCCCGGCUUAACUGGGAGGGUGCGCUAUAAACUGUGGGACUAGAGUGUGGGAGAGGAAAGUGGAAUUCCUGGUGUAGCGGUGAAAUGCGUAGAUAUCAGGAGGAACACCGGUGGUGUAAACGGCUUUCUGGACCAUAACUGACGCUGAGGCACGAAAGCGUGGGUAGCAAACAGGAUUAGAUACCCCAGUAGUCCCUGUCUCUUAUAC
rnacentral:rRNA from 1 species